rnacentral:rRNA from 1 species
GACGAACGCUGGCGGCGUGCCUAAUACAUGCAAGUCGAACGCAGUGGGGACGGGUGAGUAACACGUGGGUAACCUCCCAUCAGAGGGGAUAACACUUGGAAACAGGUGCUAAACCGAUACUGAUGGAAGGAACUGCGGUGCAUUAGCUAGUUGGUGGGGUAACGGCCCACCAAGUCCACGAUGUAUAGCCGGCCUGGAGAGGUGGUCGGCCAACCUGGGAAUGGGGCACGGCCCAGGCUCCUUCCGGGGGCAGCAGUAGGGAAUCUUCGGCAAUGGGGCGAACCCUGACCGAGCAACGCCGCGUGAGUGAAGAAGGGUUUCAGAUCGUAAAACUCUGUUUUUAAGGAAGCGGUACCUAACCAGAAAGCAACGGCUAACUACGUGCCAGCCGCCGCGGUAAUAC